UUAAUCUUGUUCAUGAGGAAACAAAUUUAAAAAGUUGUGAUUUCAUCACUUUUUCAAGAGUAUAAUAGUUAUGAUUUGUAAUGAGGGUUUCCUUUAAAGGAGCCUUUUUUUGGCAAUUGCCAAGUUUUUACUUUCUACCGUUCUUUGA